UUUUAACUAUGAUAUUAUAUUGCAUUAAAUUAUUUCUUUGUUGAUGGGCAUACUUUAAUACUGCCUGUUAAAUCAUGAGUAAGCUCAAAUUCAACAGGUAAGUCUCUGUACUGCUAUAAGUCAAUAAGUAUAUGCUUUCAAUGAGAAGUGAAAAGCUUGAAUGCUCUUAGUUUCCCACCCACACAAUUGUUUCUUUGUGUUUACAUUUGUCUCAUUGGCCACGUAUAUUCUAAGGCAGUAAACCCGGAUGCUACAGACUUGUUGAGAAGUCUUACUGGAAAGCAAUAGAUUUGCUCAGGAGAAUUGUGACCCAGAAUAUUUAUCUUUAAACAAACUUCAAUUCCGUUUACAUAAUCUAAAGCUUAUAAAUGACAACUAGAAUAUAUUUGCCAGUUAUUCUCCUUCAGACUUCUGUGGAACAUGGGAAACAGUGACCAACUGUAACAAGGUGAUUUGAUCCUGGAAAGAACUUCAGCAGACCAUACAUCUAAACCAUGGUGGUACAUCUAAUUCUUUCUUCACUGGUCCUAGUUGCUGCAGCACAAAAACCCACAAGCUCACCUGCACACCGCAUUCUUCCAGGAUGGUUUCCGAAUGCUUGUACAUUAGUUAUAUGUGGUCCACCAGAGGGAGGCUCGAAAGAUGAAAAGCAAGAUUUACCAAGAAUCCAAGAACUGUGGGGUCCACCAGGGACACCCCCCAACCCAGGAUCAAAAGGAGACAAUAAUCUUCCGG